rnacentral:rRNA from 1 species
UACGUAGGGUGCAAGCGUUAAUCGGAAUUACUGGGCGUAAAGCGCGCGUAGGCGGCUUUGCAAGUCGGGUGUGAAAUCCCCAGGCUCAACCUGGGAACUGCAUUCGAGACUGCAUUGCUAGAGUAUGGGAGAGGGAAGUGGAAUUUCCGGUGUAGCGGUGAAAUGCGUAGAUAUCGGAAGGAACAUCAGUGGCGAAAGCGACUUCCUGGACCAAUACUGACGCUCAUGUGCGAAAGCGUGGGGAGCAAACAGG